GGAAUGGGGGGCUUGCCUACACUGCAAGUCGAACGGAUCCAUAUUGAAACCUAGUGAUGUAUGGAUUAGUGGCGGACGGGUGAGUAACGCGUGGAUAACCUGCCGUAUACAGGGGGAUAACACUUAGAAAUAGGUGCUAAUACCGCAUAAGCGCACGGUUCCGCAUGGAACAGUGUGAAAAACUCCGGUGGUAUACGAUGGAUCCGCGUCUGAUUAGCCAGUUGGCGGGGUAACGGCCCACCAAAGCGACGAUCAGUAGCCGGCCUGAGAGGGUGAACGGCCACAUUGGGACUGAGACACGGCCCAAACUCCUACGGGAGGCAGCAGUGGGGAAUAUUGCACAAUGGGGGAAACCCUGAUGCAGCGACGCCGCGUGAGUGAAGAAGUAUCUCGGUACGUAAAGCUCUAUCAGCAGGGAAGAAAAUGACGGUACCUGACUAAGAAGCCCCGGCUAACUACGUGCCAGCAGCCGCGGUAAUACGUAGGGGGCAAGCGUUAUCCGGAUUUACUGGGUGUAAAGGGAGCGUAGACGGCAGCGCAAGUCUGGAGUGAAAUGCCGGGGCCCAACCCCGGAACUGCUUUGGAAACUGUGCAGCUCGAGUGCAGGAGAGGUAAGCGGAAUUCCUAGUGUAGCGGUGAAAUGCGUAGAUAUUAGGAGGAACACCAGUGGCGAAGGCGGCUUACUGGACUGUAACUGACGUUGAGGCUCGAAAGCGUGGGGAGCAAACAGGAUUAGAUACCCUGGUAGUCCACGCCGUAAACGAUGAUUACUANGUGUCGGGGGGCCAAGGCCCUCCGGUGCGCCCGCAACGCAUUAAGUAAUCCACCUGGGGAGUACGUUCGCAAGAAU
rnacentral:rRNA from 1 species